GAUGAACGCUGGCGGCGUGCCUAAUACAUGCAAGUCGAGCGAACAGACGAGGAGCUUGCUCCUCUGACGUUAGCGGCGGACGGGUGAGUAACACGUGGAUAACCUACCUAUAAGACUGGGAUAACUUCGGGAAACCGGAGCUAAUACCGGAUAACAUGUUGAACCGCAUGGUUCAACAGUGAAAGACGGUUUUGCUGUCACUUAUAGAUGGAUCCGCGCCGCAUUAGCUAGUUGGUAAGGUAACGGCUUACCAAGGCAACGAUGCGUAGCCGACCUGAGAGGGUGAUCGGCCACACUGGAACUGAGACACGGUCCAGACUCCUACGGGAGGCAGCAGUAGGGAAUCUUCCGCAAUGGGCGAAAGCCUGACGGAGCAACGCCGCGUGAGUGAAGAAGGUCCUCGGAUCGUAAAACUCUGUUAUUAGGGAAGAAAAAAUGUGUAAGUAACUAUGCACGUCUUGACGGUACCUAAUCAGAAAGCCACGGCUAACUACGUG
rnacentral:rRNA from 1 species